rnacentral:rRNA from 1 species
UACGUAGGUGGCGAGCGUUGUCCGGACUUACUGGGCGUAAAGAGCGCGCAGGCGGUCGUACAAGUCGCGUGUGAAAGCCCCCGGCUCAACUGGGGAGGGUCACGCGAUACUGUUCGACUCGAAGGCAGGAGAGGGUAGUGGAAUUCCCGGUGUAGUGGUGAAAUGCGUAGAUAUCGGGAGGAACACCAGUGGCGAAGGCGACUACCUGGCCUGUUCUUGACGCUGAGGCGCGAAAGCUAGGGUAGCAAACGGG